UGCUAGAUCUCUGCUAGAUGCUCUGGUAGAA
rnacentral:piRNA from 1 species